rnacentral:pre_miRNA from 1 species
CUUACACAUAUUUUUUGGCAUUCUGUCCACCUCCUCUUCCUUUUCUUCAUCACUAGUAAUUUCCCAGCUCACUCACUGACGGACGGAGGUGGACAUACUGCCAACAGACUUGUGUUGG